GUGCCAUGUCUAUCUCUCACAGCAGAGCUGUUUUUCUUUAACUGAAAUUAUUCACUGAAUUGCUACCUUUUUGCUUGUAAUCUGGCUUGUAUCAUUCUGCCUUAUAGCAAGUUAAGAUGAAAUUCAGAUAAAAUAUGAACUUUGUAUUUAACAAUGUGAUUACAAUCUCCAGGUACCAUGCCACGAAGCUUCUUCAACCUUUAAUUUUACCUAAUCUGAUUUAAUUUAGCCAAAAUGGAUAACAGCAAAGAGAGCAUCUUGAAAAAGAGGAGGACCCCUACACAAAAAAUGAAGCUCUCAACAGCUCUCUCUCCGCCAGCUGAGGAAGAUCUUCAAUGACUGAUUCACUUCAACAUAUCUUCAUACAAGUUCCACACAGAUAAAAAAUGACUGCUAACAAUAACAUCAAAAUAUCAGUACUUUGAUCUGUGAAAUCUGUUGAGCCCUAGUAGAUCAUUAAUUAGGAUGGUGAGUUACUAAAUUAGCAUCAGUCUGGAUACAGAAGAUGGUUUUCAACAGAACAAAGAACAGCCACCAGGUUGAUGGAGUUUUGGUUUUAAGAGCAAGAGGGGAA